rnacentral:rRNA from 1 species
CCCUUAGAUGUUCUGGGCCGCACGCGUGCUACACUGAGUGGAUCAGCGGGUCAGGUUGCGCGAAAGCGUUUCCUAAUCUUUAAAUCCGCUCGUGAUGGGGAUUGACGGUUGCAAUUUUCUGUCAUGAACGAGGAAUACCUUGUAAGCGCGGGUCAUCAUCCCGCGCUGAAUACGUCCCUGCCCUUUGUACACACCGCCCGUCGCUCCUACCGAUUGAAUGGUCCGGUGAAGCCUCGGGAUUGUGGUUAGUUUCCUUCAUUGGAAGUUAGCCGCGAGAACUUGUCUAAACCUUAUCAUUUAGAGGAAGGUGAAGUCGUAACA